rnacentral:lncRNA from 1 species
UUCGGCAUCAUCAUCAAGUUUGUUAUCCGACCCCGCAGGCGCCGGUGUCAUCACAGGAGUACUACCAUUAUCCACCACAGCCUUUCCCUUUGCCCUGGCUAAAGCCUCGGCCUUUUCUUUUUUAUCUUUUUCUUCCUCCCCCCUCCUCAAUGCGUCGGGAGCAAACAACCUACCGCUGCGAGUGAAACCGCUGGGACCGGCAUUAUCCACCUUUAGCACGGUGGUUUCACUAGCGGAUUG